GUCAUAUUGAGUUUAAAUUUUAACCGUUUAUUUAACCGAUUUUAAAUAUUUAAACUAAACUUCUUAUUUUCCCUUCCCGAUUUGCGUCUCUGCCGUUAGCGAUGGAAAAAGUGAGCAACUGUCGAAGAUACACGGCAAUCCCGAGCUGUUCAAGUAUUUAAACGAUGAUAUUUCUGCUGAGCUGGCCUCCAGCAGUCUUCCGGGCUCGAGCGAGCCAAAGCAAUCAUUGGCCGUAUGCAAAGCAAAGAUCUGUACGCGGAGAUUGCUCGCUUUCCGGUUGACAUGACAAAAGAGAUAAAGCAUUACAACUGCCAACGGGGAGAGUCCAUUGUGACGCAAGCGUUCGAUACAUAAAAUCAUCGAACCAAUGGUUCGCUAGCUUUAACGUUACCUUCUACAAACCCGGUACCGGCGGACGGUAUCGAAAUUGUUUCCCUGGAGGAAGCAAGGAACCUAAACAACCGUGCCGUAACCACGUUCGAGACGGCCGACGAGAUAAGGGAGUAUAUCCUCUACUGUACCAGCACCGAUCCGGAUGGCCAAAGCGAGGCCAAGCAGCACUUUACGAACCUACGAAACGAAACGACGACCGCGGGUAGCUAGUCGUUCGUUAUUUUUUCUUUUUAAUUAUUUUUUGUUUCUUCACUCACCUCACUACAUCAUAAUAUGCAAGAGGCUGUUAUUGUGUUCCCUUUUGGCCCUGUAGUUGUGAGCUACGCGUAUGUUGAAUUUCAAUGCAAUUUAAGUAACAUCACUACUUUCGUUUUAGCGUGCAGUGUGAAUACAAACCAAAAAUACAAAGCUAAAAGAGUUAUAUUAAA